rnacentral:RNase_P_RNA from 3 species
UGCUCUAUACAAUGUGAUCGCUCGGCCUUCAGGCCGAGAGGAAAGUCCGAACUCCUCAUGAGCUCUCGUAGUUCAUGAUCGUGAUAGUGGGUAACACCCACCUGCCGGUAUGUGAAUACUUGGUACGGGCCAGUGCCACAGAGACUAUACUAUCCCGACUUUGUCGGGAAAAACGUGAAAAGUGAACGGAUGUUUUUACGCUAUAGAUAAAAGCUACUGUUCUCAUCUUGAUAGCAAUAUCAAGAUGUGGUAAACCCUAUCUGGAGAAAGUGCCGUGUUUCCUGAUUCUAUCAGGAUUCAAAAAGUUAGCACGUGAAGAUUUCAUGAGUAAUCAUGAAACAAGAGAAAUGAUCACCAUCGUCUCUUUCGAGAGACGGGGUACAAAAUUCGGCUUAUUGUAUAGAGCAACAA